GACGUAGGGGGCGAGCGUUGUCCGGAUUUACUGGGCGUAAAGAGCGCGCAGGCGGUCGUUCAAGUCGCGUGUGAAAGCCCCCGGCUCAACUGGGGAGGGUCACGCGAUACUGAUCGACUCGAAGGCAGGAGAGGGUAGUGGAAUUCCCGGUGUAGUGGUGAAAUGCGUAGAUAUCGGGAGGAACACCAGUGGCGAAGGCGACUACCUGGCCUGUUUCUUGACGCUGAGGCGCGAAAGCUAGGGGAGCAAACGGG
rnacentral:rRNA from 1 species